GGACAGGUGUGAAAGGGCUUAUCCGGUGGGGCUCCGGGUGGCAGCAGGACCUAACAAGCCGGGAGGCAGCAGGACCUAACAAGCUGGGAGGCAGCAGGCCAGGAGUCCAGUGGAGGGGCAGUGCCUGCGGGCAGAGCGAGCAGACCGAGUCCCGAGCCCCAGGACCUGGAGCUUAGCUUGGGUCUCGGGGCAGAGGCUGCUUUUCUCCCCUCUCUGCCUUGGUGUAUCGGGCCUGGGGAAGCUCUGGGCAAGAACAGAGGCAGCACAGCAGCCCUGCCCCCAGGGCUGGUCCGGGAAAUUGUGAAGGAAUUCUUUGAUGCCUUCCUCCAAGGUUUAGGAAUGACAAAUGGAGCCUUAGGACAACGCUGGCCCGACAGAAGUUUGCUAAACCUGGUCUUCCCUCUCCCGUCUGCUCUCUCUGACUCAGCUCCAGCUCCUCUCUCCUUCUGGCCCCCGAACUCAGCCUUCCCUUCCCUCGGGGCCUUGAGACAAGCUACCUGGCUGUGGCAAUGACCGUUUAAGGAGUGACCCCUACAAGGCAUUUCUGUUUCAACGGCUGACUCUUGAGCCGUAACCCCCAAAAGUGUGGAUGGCAGUGCCGAGACUGGCGGUUAGGGGGUGCUAUCACUCAGAUGGGGCCUGCCCUGAAUAUUAGCCCUUGAUUUGCCACCCCGCUCCCUGCCUGACCCCAGCAGGUUCCCCGCCACCCAAACCCUCCAGCGUCUGAGAAACACAACUUGCCCUGGUCACCCAUCCCCCCACACACACACAGACAGUGCUGACCUUCAGGGUAACAUUGAAACCUCUUCACUGUAAGGUGUGUGUGGAAAAGAAACUGAGCAUCUGAAACCCCAGCUCCUGCACUCCACCCAUUGCCCAAGCGGCCGCCCACAGCAGUUACAAAGAGGAAGACUAACCCUGAGCUAACAUCUGCCAAUCCUCCUCUUUUUACUGAGGAAGACUGGCCCUGAGCUAACAUCCGUG
rnacentral:lncRNA from 1 species